rnacentral:misc_RNA from 1 species
AAAGUCGUAACAAGGUUUCCGUAGGUGAACCUGCGGAAGGAUCAUUAACACGUGUCCACGUAUCAAAACCCCUGUGCAAACCUCUUACGUUAGGUUUGAUUGGAGUUGUAUGCACUCGAUCUUAAUGAUGGGAGUCCUCCCCUCGGGGGGCCUCGGGAUCUAUGAGUGCUUACCGCGUUUGACAAUCGGGCCACCAUUUUUCCAUCGUUCGUCAUUUACCCAAAUUUAACACCUUGUACUCUUUUGUACUGAACCAAUUCUUCGAGUUUCGGCUUCGGCUGAGAUACGAAAGAUAUUACGAAACUAAAGAACAACUCUUAGCAACGGAUAUCUUGGUUCCC